UGGGGGAUAUUGCACAAUGGGCGCAAGCCUGAUGCAGCGACGCCGCGUGGGGGAUGAAGGCCUUCGGGUUGUAAACUUCUUUUGCUCUGAACAAGGCGCACUUUGGGGUGUGUUGAGUGUAGGGGUUGAUUAGCGCCGGCUAACUACGUGCCAACAGCCGCGGUAAUACGUAGGGCGCGAGCGUUGUCCGGAAUUAUUGGGCGUAAAGGGCUUGUAGGUGGCUGGUUGCGUCUGUCGUGAAAGCUCAUGGCUUAACUGUGGGUUUGCGGUGGGUACGGGCUGGCUUGAGUGCAGUAGGGGAGGCUGGAAUUCCUGGUGUAGCGGUGGAAUGCGCAGAUAUCAGGAGGAAUACCGGUGGCGAAGGCGGGUGUCUGGGCUGUUACUGACACUGAGGAGCGAAAGCAUGGGGAGCGAACAGG
rnacentral:rRNA from 1 species